UUUUGGGUUAGGUUUGUGUGGCUGCAUAGGUUUUGCUCGACACCUGUUUAGAAGGAGGGAGGGAGAGGGCAUGUGUCGUUUCUUUUUCUUCGGUGGUGUAUGAAAUCUCUGUAUCAUGGGUUGCGGCAUAAAACAACGAGGGCGGACUAAGAAGAUAUAUCGAUUUCGUUGGCGUCGUUUGUGUUCGAUAGGGAUAUUGAGGUGAUCGAGACAUCGAGUAAAGGAUUCAUUUUUGGGAAUUGUGGAAAGUACACUCGAGAUUAUAAGACGUGUUUCUUGUCUUCGGACGUGUUUUUGUCUUCGGACGUGUUUAUGUCUUCGGACGUGUUUUUGUCUUCAGACGUGUUUAUGUCUUCGGACCAUUCUUCGGACGAAAGUUACGAUACAGUAGAGCUCUAAUCUGUUUGCCGGAGUACUGCAUAAAUGGUAACAAAUGGGUUAUCGGCUUAUGAGUACCCAUAUUUUGGAUAUUGGGUACCAAGUGGUUGCCCAAUGUCGGCGGCGUACUAUCAUGAGGAGUAACAGAGGUGUACCAGCGCUCAUUAGUACCUGUAUUAUAAAUGCAUUUGGGCAAACAGAGAGGUUGCCCAAUUUCUCAUGAGCAUAUACAUUUGCAUUUUAUUAGACAACCAGAUGGGCCGUCUAAUGACUCAUGAGUACAUUUAUGAUUGAUGUUAUGUGGUGGAGUUUCGUAUAUAUUUUUAUGCGAGUCAUAUUGUUGUUUUACUCAUACGAGCUGCAAAGCUUACCUGGUUUGUGUUUACAAUCCCGGUGCACAUGUUCGAUAGUGUAGGGGAUAAUUCCGCAUGUAUGGAUUAGUGAAAA